ACAGUACAAACUGAUCAGGCGAUGCCGCAUGGUAUAGAGCCGGGCUUAAAAGCAGCAGAUGUGAUAAGGAUACAGAUAGUUUUCUGAAGAGCAGCACAUCUGUGGGACAGU
rnacentral:ncRNA from 1 species